CCUACGGGAGGCAGCAGUGAGGAAUAUUGGUCAAUGGACGAGAGUCUGAACCAGCCAAGUAGCGUGAAGGAUGACUGCCCUAUGGGUUGUAAACUUCUUUUAUAUGGGAAUAAAACGUUCCACGUGUGGGAUUUUGUAUGUACCAUAUGAAUAAGGAUCGGCUAACUCCGUGCCAGCAGCCGCGGUAAUACGGAGGAUCCGAGCGUUAUCCGGAUUUAUUGGGUUUAAAGGGAGCGUAGGUGGAUUUUUAAGUCAGUUGUGAAAGUUUGCGGCUCAACCGUAAAAUUGCAGUUGAAACUGGCAGUCUUGAGUACAGUAGAGGUGGGCGGAAUUCGUGGUGUAGCGGUGAAAUGCUUAGAUAUCACGAAGAACUCCGAUUGCGAAGGCAGUUCACUGGACUGCAACUGACACUGAGGCUCGAAAGUGUGGGUAUCAAACAGGAUUAGAUACCCUUGUAGUC
rnacentral:rRNA from 1 species